rnacentral:rRNA from 1 species
UCUCCUGGAAAACGGGUGGUAAUGCCGGAUGCUCCAUCACACCGCAUGGUGUGUUGGGAAAGCCUUUGCGGCAUGGGAUGGGGUCGCGUCCUAUCAGCUUGAUGGCGGGGUAACGGCCCACCAUGGCUUCGACGGGUAGCCGGCCUGAGAGGGCGACCGGCCACAUUGGGACUGAGAUACGGCCCAGACUCCUACGGGAGGCAGCAGUGGGGAAUAUUGCACAAUGGGCGCAAGCCUGAUGCAGCGACGCCGCGUGAGGGAUGGAGGCCUUCGGGUUGUAAACCUCUUUUGUUAGGGAGCAAGGCAUUUUUUGUUGAGUGUACCUUUCGAAUAAGCACCGGCUAACUACGUGCCAGCAGCCGCGGUAAUACGUAGGGUGCAAGCGUUAUCCGGAAUUAUUGGGCGUAAAGGGCUCGUAGGCGGUUCGUCGCGUCCGGUGUGAAAGUCCAUCGCUUAACGGUGGAUCCGCGCCGGGUACGGGCGGGCUUGAGUGCGGUAGGGGAGACUGGAAUUCCCGGUGUAACGGUGGAAUGUGUAGAUAUCGGGAAAGAACACC